ensembl:ncRNA F53B6.12 ncRNA
CCAUCUUUUAAAUGAUAAGCACACACUGGGAGAGAAUAUUCUUGAUCUACGUGUUGUGGAGCUAACGUUCUAUAAUUCACAAUUGAUUUAAUACUUCAGAGUUAACAUACCCAACAUCAAUUUCCGCGUUCAAUCCU